GGAAGUUUUGAACCCUGGACGGUGAUCCUUUACUUCUGUUCCUGUUAGUCAUUCAUUCACCCACUUGUCCUUUUCUGCCCCCCUCGGAACUAACCCAGAGUUUCCGGUGAUUGCUUCCAGACGGAGGGGGAAUAGAGCUCGCUCUGUGCACCUUGCUCUGGUGAAGAUAGACACGUUUUCUACUGAAGACCACAAGCACUCACAAGUACUCAUGCCAUUGAAGUGUUUGGUCAUUAUAUUAAUAAAAAGUCUAAUUUGUUA